rnacentral:rRNA from 1 species
CCUUAGAGUUUGAUCCUGGCUCAGGAUGAACGCUAGCUACAGGCUUAACACAUGCAAGUCGAGAGGCAGCAUGGUCUUAGCUUGCUAAGGCCGAUGGCGACCGGCGCACGGGUGAGUAACACGUAUCCAACCUGCCGUCUACUCUUGGACAGCCUUCUGAAAGGAAGAUUAAUACAAGAUGGCAUCAUGAGUCCGCAUGUUCACAUGAUUAAAGGUAUUCCGGUAGACGAUGGGGAUGCGUUCCAUUAGCCAGUUGGCGGGGUAACGGCCCACCAAGGCGACGAUGGAUAGGGGUUCUGAGAGGAAGGUCCCCCACAUUGGAACUGAGACACGGUCCAAACUCCUACGGGAGGCAGCAGUGAGGAAUAUUGGUCAAUGGGCGCAGGCCUGAACCAGCCAAGUAGCGUGAAGGAUGACUGCCCUACGGGUUGUAAACUUCUUUUAUAAAGGAAUAAAGUCGGGUAUGUAUACCCGUUUGCAUGUACUUUAUGAAUAAGGAUCGGCUAACUCCGUGCCAGCAGCCGCGGUAAUACGGAGGAUCCGAGCGUUAUCCGGAUUUAUUGGGUUUAAAGGGAGCGUAGAUGGAUGUUUAAGUCAGUUGUGAAAGUUUGCGGCUCAACCGUAAAAUUGCAGUUGAUACUGGAUAUCUUGAGUGCAGUUGAGGCAGGCGGAAUUCGUGGUGUAGCGGUGAAAUGCUUAGAUAUCACGAAGAACUCCGAUUGCGAAGGCAGCCUGCUAAGCUGCAACUGACAUUGAGGCUCGAAAGUGUGGGUAUCAAACAGGAUUAGAUACCCUGGUAGUCCACACGGUAAACGAUGAAUA